AUGCACUCUCCUCUUGGCGUGCUGACUCGUUACACAACAGCUUCAUCGAUUCAGCCCUCUCACGUUCUUGAUUGCUUCAGCUCAUCGUUGAUUGAAUCGCUAUUCAGAGCGAUCCUCCCUCACGACUAUCGUCUCCAACGACCUCAACACAGCAUCGCCACCGUUUGCCUUGCGAUCACCGUCGACUCUCAAACUCUGAACUCGUCACUGUCUCUCUUUUUCGUUCAGUUAACAGCGGCUUCUUCUACGAAUACAACAUCUCCGCUGUGA